UUUGGUCAUCGAAAACUGUGCCGAACUGUAAUCUUUAUCAGAUAGCCUUCGGAUUUUAUUUCUCACUCUACGGGUGUCAGAAAAAUAUGAAACUUUAAAUAUAGCCUCAUAAAAAUAUUUCUGACAUCUCUGCCAAUUUUCAUAAUUUUCUGACACUGUGCAUUUUCUGCUAAUUUAUCUGUCCCAUUUUCCACAGAAAAUUCUAAAUCUUCUGUUUUCGCUCCGAUUUCAGCACAGGUCAUUUCCAAUCUAUAUUUCGCUUCUCUAAAUCCAAUAAAAUAGUAUCUCAUACUAUUUUUAUUUAUUUACACCUUUAUAUUUAAAAUCCGGUAUGUUACAUUCUACCGCAACCUCACUGGAACCAUUCAAAUGUACACCGUAACCUCAUGAUUUUAAAAGUCCGGUACCUUACACUAGUGUUAUUAAACAUAGGUCAGAUAUGAACCUAGUGUAUGAAACAUAGGUUGGACAUGAAUGACAACGAACCUAGGUUAUUAAACCUAGGUCAGAUAUGAACCUAGUGUCGUAGGUUAUUAAACCUAGGUCAGAUAUGAAACAUCGGUUAUGAAACCUAGGUCAGAUAUGAAACAUAGGUUAUUAAACCUAGGUCAGAUAUGAACCUAGUGUCGUAAACCUAGGAUGGAUACGAAGGACAUAUGAACCUAAUGUUAGUAAACUUAGGUCGAGUAAUGGCUUGAACCUAGAAAGGUUGACAUAGGGUUAGACCAACCCUAGAGAUGUUGAAAGUGGAUUCCGGAAUCCCAGGUCUUGUGGCCUUUGUGAACAUGGUAUGCUCAUGGUUGUGGAUUGGAUCAUACUCACCUAUAAGUCCGAUACUUGAGGGCGGUCGCUCCCCCUCGAGCGAUGAGCUCCGCAGUGAUCAUCACUGGGUUGGAGUUUCCCUAGAGGUUGAGCCUGUCGAGUCGUAG
rnacentral:lncRNA from 1 species